rnacentral:rRNA from 1 species
AGAGUUUGAUCCUGGCUCAGAAUCAACGCUGGCGGCAUGCCUAACACAUGCAAGUCGAGCGAGAAAGGGUAGCAAUACCUGAGUAAAGCGGCGCACGGGUGAGUAACACGUGGAUAACCUGCCUCAAAGUGGGGAAUAACACCGGGAAACCGGUGCUAAUACCGCAUAUUCUGACGAGAUCUGUGGAUUUUGCCAGGAAAGGAGCAAUUCGCUAUGAGAGGGGUCCGCGGCUGAUUAGCUAGUUGGCGAGGUAAUGGCUCACCAAGGCCACGAUCAGUAGCCGGUCUGAGAGGACGGUCGGCCACACUGGAACUGAGACACGGUCCAGACUCCUACGGGAGGCAGCAGUGGGGAAUUUUUCGCAAUGGGGGCAACCCUGACGAAGCAAUGCCGCGGUGGGAUGAUGAAGUAUCUCGGUACGUAAAAUCCUUUCGACGGNGGACNAAACCAGCNGGGUUGACGGUUCCGUAUAACGACNCCCCGGGGUUACCUCCNGUGCCCAGGCNGCCGGGGUUAUUACGGGGGUGGGNGCNAUGCGGUNGUUNCGGNANUUUACCUGGGCNGUUAAAGGGGUGCNUANGGCCGGGCUUUCUCACNGUCGGNAUUGUUGAAAACUUCUGGGGCCUCCNNCCCNGNANCACUNNNAUUUUGACACUGGCAANAGCNNGGGUUUCUGGAGGGGNNAAAGGCGGAAUUUCCNUGGUCNUUUGCCGGGGCAANUGCGGUGNC